UGGGGAAUUUUGGACAAUGGGCGAAAGCCUGNUCCAGCAAUGCCGCGUGUGUGAAGAAGGCCUUCGGGUUGUAAGCACUUUUGUCCGGAAAGAAAUCCUUGGCUCUAAUACAGUCGGGGGAUGACGGUACCGGAAGAAUAAGCACCGGCUAACUACGUGCCAGCAGCCGCGGUAAUACGUAGGGUGCAAGCGUUAAUCGGAAUUACUGGGCGUAAAGCGUGCGCAGGCGGGUUUGCUAAAGACCGAUGUGAAAUCCCCGGGCUCAACCUGGGGAACUGCAUUUGGGUGACUGGCAGGCUAGAGUAUGGCAGAGGGGGGUAGAAUUCCACGUNUAGCAGUGAAAAUGCGUAGAGAUGUGGAGGAAUACCGAUGGCGAAGGCAGCCCCCUGGGCAAUACUGACGCUCAUGCACGAAAGCGUGGGGAGCAAACAGGAUUAGAUACCCUGGUAGUCCACGCCCUAAACGAUGUC
rnacentral:rRNA from 1 species